UAACGCGUGAGGAACCUGCCUUUCAGUGGGGGACAACAGUUGGAAACGACUGCUAGUACCGCAUAAUGUUUCUGGACCGCAUGAUCUGGAAACCAAAGCUUUAUGUGCUGAAAGAUGGCCUCGCGUCUGAUUAGAUAGUUGGUGAGGUAACGGCCCACCAAGUCUACGAUCAGUAGCCGGACUGAGAGGUUGAACGGCCACAUUGGGACUGAGAUACGGCCCAG
rnacentral:rRNA from 1 species